GGGUUGUGAGGUUAAGCGACUAAGCGUACACGGUGGAUGCCCUGGCAGUCAGAGGCGAUGAAGGGCGUGCUAAUCUGCGAUAAGCGCCGGUAAGGUGAUAUGAACCGUUAUAACCGGCGAUACCCGAAUGGGGAAACCCAGUGUGACUCGUCACACUAUCAUUAACUGAAUCCAUAGGUUAAUGAGGCGAACCGGGGGAACUGAAACAUCUAAGUACCCCGAGGAAAAGAAAUCAACCGAGAUUCCCCCAGUAGCGGCGAGCGAACGGGGAGGAGCCCAGAGCCUGAAUCAGCAUGUGUGUUAGUGAAAGCGUCUGGAAAGGCGCGCGAUACAGGGUGACAGCCCCGUACACAAAAGCGCAUAUGCUGUGAGCUCGAUGAGUAGGGCGGGACACGUGGUAUCCUGUCUGAAUAUGGGGGGACCAUCCUCCAAGGCUAAAUACUCCUGACUGACCGAUAGUGAACCAGUACCGUGAGGGAAAGGCGAAAAGAACCCCGGCGAGGGGAGUGAAAAAGAACCUGAAACCGUGUACGUACAAGCAGUGGGAGCACCCUUUGGGGUGUGACUGCGUACCUUUUGUAUAAUGGGUCAGCGACUUAUAUUCUGUAGCAAGGUUAACCGCAUAGGGGAGCCGGAGGGAAACCGAGUCUUAAU
rnacentral:rRNA from 1 species